rnacentral:lncRNA from 1 species
CAGGAAGAGAGAAAAAUAAUGCAAAUCAGAGUGAAAGAACAGAGAUAAGUAAAUCAUCUCACCAACAAAGUGAAACGCCAUUACUCUAUAAAACUUAACUGGUGACAAACACCCGUCUUUGGCAAACAAGUAGAGUUUGAAUUCAAAUAUGAACUUUGAGAAUUUGCAGAUAAAAUCGGUAGCGUGAAAGGAAAAUAAAUCUCGGGACCCCAAACUCAGAAGAGAAGCCUUAAAAUGCUGGGGAAGGGCAAGAAUCACUGUCUUCCUGGAAACACUCUCAAAACCAAAGCCAAAGAGAAUAUUGAGGACAGCCAGAAAAAAAAAGACACACUAUAUGAAUAUAAAACAAUUCCUUUUUUUGUCAGAAGUCAGGUGAGCCAGA